rnacentral:rRNA from 1 species
AAGAGACAGCAGUAGCCACGGGAAUACGAAGGGUGCAAGCGUUACUCGGAAUUACUGGGCGUAAAGCGUGCGUAGGUGGUGGUUUAAGUCCGUUGUGAAAGCCCUGGGCUCAACCUGGGAAUUGCAGUGGAUACUGGGUCACUAGAGUGUGGUAGAGGAUAGUGGAAUUUCCGGUGUAGCAGUGAAAUGCGUAGAGAUCGGAAGGAACAUCUGUGGCGAAGGCGACUAUCUGGGCCAACACUGACACUGAGGCACGAAAGCGUGGGGAGCAAACAGGAUUAGAUACCCGGGUAGUCCCUGUCUCUUAUAC